CCUACGGGUGGCUGCAGUAGGGAAUCUUUCACAAUGGGCGAAAGCCUGAUGGAGCAACGCCGCGUGCAGGAUGAAGGCCUUCGGGUUGUAAACUGCUUUUGUAAGCGAGAAAUAUGAUGGUAACUUAUGAAUAAGGAUCGGCUAACUACGUGCCAGCAGCCGCGGUCAUACGUAGGAUCCGAGCAUGAUCUGGAGUGACUGUGUGUAAAGAGUUGCGUAUGUGGGAUAAUUAGUAGCUAGUGAAAUCGGGUGGCUCAACCAUUCAGAGUAUUAUCUAAACUGGUAAGCUCGAGACCGUUAGGGGUAACUGGAAUUUCUAGUGUAGGAGUGAAAUGCGUAGAUAUUAGAAGGAACACCAAUAGCGUAGGCAGGUCACUGGGACGGAUCUGACACUAAGGCACGAAAGCGUAGGGAGCAAACGGGAUUAGAUACCCUGGUAGUC
rnacentral:rRNA from 1 species